CAUCAUCACCACCAUCAUUGUCAUCAUCACCACCAUCACCAUCAUCAUAAAGUAAAGGUGUGUGUUUGUGUGUUACAGGGUGAGUGUGCAGAAGAGUAAGUGGGACAGUUCUCGCUCUCUCAGGUUCAAUCAGGACGCUCAGAGGGAGGAAGACCAGCGCAGGAUGGUGGAGAUCAUCGGUCACCUGACCAAGAUGAGGUUCGGAGAUCAGGAACAGAGCAGGUCUAAAGAUAAUAAAGAGCCUUCAGGGGGGAUCUAUGCCAGACUGGAGACUCAGUUUAAGAGUUCAUCUCAGAGCAGACAGAGUGCAGAGAAGACCCCCAGGUCGAAGCUUCGUUACGCUCAGAUCAGAACAACAUGAAGACCUGAUGCAGAAACAGGAGGAGGAUCUGUGCUGCUGUUUAAAUGUUUACUGUGAUGUUCUUUAUUCAGCAGCUUCUUCACAUAUAUAUAUAA